GCGGUCGUGGCGGAACUGGUAGACGCGCAAGCUUGAGGUGUUUGUGGGCGAAAGCCCGUGGAAGUUCGAGUCUUCUCGACCGCACCA
rnacentral:tRNA from 1 species